rnacentral:rRNA from 1 species
AUUGAACGCUGGCGGCAGGCCUAACACAUGCAAGUCGAGCGGUAGAGAGAAGCUUGCUUCUCUUGAGAGCGGCGGACGGGUGAGUAAUGCCUAGGAAUCUGCCUGAUAGUGGGGGAUAACGUCCGGAAACGGACGCUAAUACCGCAUACGUCCUACGGGAGAAAGUGGGGGCUCUUCGGACCUCACGCUAUCAGAUGAGCCUAGGUCGGAUUAGCUAGUUGGUGGGGUAAAGGCUCACCAAGGCGACGAUCCGUAACUGGUCUGAGAGGAUGAUCAGUCACACUGGAACUGAGACACAGUCCAGACUCCUGAGGGAGGCAGCAGUGGGGAAUAUUGGGCAAUGGGCGAAAGCCUGAUCCAGCCAUGCCGCGUGUGUGAAGAAGGUCUUCGGAUUGUAAAGCACUUUAAGUUGGGAGGAAGGGUCGUUACCUAAUACGUGACGAUUUUGACGUUACCGACAGAAUAAGCACCGGCUAACUCUGUGCCAGCCGCCGCCGUAACAC